AGAAGCAAGAUGGCGGCCCCCGUGGAUCUGGAGUUGAAGAAGGCCUUCACAGAGCUUCAAGCCAAAGUUAUUGACACUCAGCAGAAGGUGAAACUUGCAGACGUACAGAUUGAACAGCUGAACAGAACGAAAAAGCAUGCACAUCUUACAGAUACAGAGAUUAUGACUUUGGUAGAUGAGACUAACAUGUAUGAAGGUGUAGGAAGAAUGUUUAUUCUUCAGUCCAAGCAGGCAAUUCAUAAUCAGCUGUUAGAGAAACAGAAGAUAGCAGAAGAAAAAAUUAAAGAAUUGGAACAGAAAAAAUCCUAUCUGGAGCGGAGUGUGAAGGAAGCUGAGGACAAUAUCCGGGAGAUGCUGAUGGCGUGAAGGGCACAGUAGGCAGCCUCUCAGGAACCUCUUCUUUCUGAUUCCUGCCAUUCCUGGCGAGGAGCCUGUGCAGGGAAACUGCUCUGCCUGAGGGACAUUUUAUCUGGAUGGUCUAGUAAACUUAUG